UACGUAGGGGGCUAGCGUUGUCCGGAAUCAUUGGGCGUAAAGAGCGUGUAGGCUGCUCGGUAAGUCCGCUGUAAAAGUCAAAGGCUCAACCUUUGAAUGUCAGUGGAUACUGCCGGGCUAGAGUCCGGAAGAGGAGUGUGGAAUUCCUGGUGUAGCGGUGAAAUGCGCAGAGAUCGGGAGGAACACCAGUGGCGCAAGCGGCCCCCAAGCCUGAGCCUGACGCUGAAGCGCGACAGCGUGGGGAGCAAACGGG
rnacentral:rRNA from 1 species